rnacentral:rRNA from 1 species
AUGCAUGCUGUGAAAUUUGGCUACAGAUGGAACAUAGGGGAUGGGAGCAGAACCAGGUUCUGGGAAGAUAGUUGGUUUGGCACAUCCCCCCUAGCAGUCUAAUUUUGGCCUAUUUACUCUGUCCACAAUGAGCUUAACAAAAGUGUCAAUGAAGUUUGGGAUGGUCAAUGCCUAAAACUCUCUUUAACAAAAGCAUUACCUUUACUGCCGAGCUGGAUGCCCUGACUUGGCAGCUGGACAAUAAGGGGAAGUAUUCCUCCAGCUCCCUCUAUCAUGUUAUCAACUUUAUAG